rnacentral:lncRNA from 1 species
AAGCUACAACACUGGAGAUCUUCCCUUUCCUCUCCAAUUAUAGGUUAGGCAUUCUGACUCAAGAAGCCUUGAAAGUUCCCUGUAAAUUUAUUUGCAUGGCUUUAGGAGAGUCCUAACCAAAGAAAUAAAUUAAUGCAGUAUAAUUGUCAACAGGAUUGGGAUUCUUCUUUGGUGAAGAAUUUCAAAUUGAAGAAGAGAGAAAAGAGGCGCUCCAAUAGCCGACAGUUUGUUGAUGGACCCCCUGGUCCUAUAAAGAAAACUCGUUCCAUUGGCUCCACAGUAGACCAGGGAAAUGAAUCCAUAGUUGCAAAGACUACAGUAACUGUUCCCAAUGAUGGUGGGCCCAUUGAAGCUGUGUCCACUAUUGAAACUGUGCCAUAUUUGACAAGGAGCCGAAGGAAAACAGGUCUGUUAGUUUGUGAAUAAAUUGCCUGUUAAAACCACUGAUAACUGCCA